rnacentral:rRNA from 1 species
AUUGAACGCUGGCGGCAUGCCUUACACAUGCAAGUCGAACGGUAACAGGUCUUCGGACGCUGACGAGUGGCGAACGGGUGAGUAAUACAUCGGAACGUGCCCGAUCGUGGGGGAUAACGAGGCGAAAGCUUUGCUAAUACCGCAUACGAUCUACGGAUGAAGGCGGGGGAUCUUCGGACCUCGCGCGGACGGAGCGGCCGAUGGCAGAUUAGGUAGUUGGUGGGAUAAAAGCUUACCAAGCCGACGAUCUGUAGCUGGUCUGAGAGGAUGAUCAGCCCCACUGGGACUGAGACACGGCCCAGACUCCUACGGGAGGCAGCAGUGGGGAAUUUUGGACAAUGGGCGAAAGCCUGAUCCAGCCAUGCCGCGUGCAGGAUGAAGGCCUUCGGGUUGUAAACUGCUUUUGUACGGAACGAAAAGCCUCUUUCUAAUAAAGAGGGGUCAUGACGGUACCGUAAGAAUAAGCACCGGCUAACUACGUG